GCCCUGGUUAGCUCAGUCGGUAGAGCACUCCACUGGAAAUGGAGAGGUCCCGGGUUCGAUACCCGGACCAGGCG
rnacentral:tRNA from 1 species